rnacentral:rRNA from 1 species
AGAGUUUGAUCAUGGCUCAGAACGAACGCUGGCGGCAGGCCUAACACAUGCAAGUCGAACGCCCCGCAAGGGGAGUGGCAGACGGGUGAGUAACGCGUGGGAACAUACCCUUCGGUUCGGAAUAGCUCAGGGAAACUUGGAUUAAUACCGGAUACGUCCGUAAGGAGAAAGAUUUAUCGCCGAAGGAUUGGCCCGCGUCUGAUUAGCUUGUUGGUGAGGUAAUGGCUCACCAAGGCGACGAUCAGUAGCUGGUCUGAGAGGAUGACCAGCCACAUUGGGACUGAGACACGGCCCAAACUCCUACGGGAGGCAGCAGUGGGGAAUAUUGGACAAUGGGCGAAAGCCUGAUCCAGCCAUGCCGCGUGAGUGAUGAAGGCCUUAGGGUUGUAAAGCUCUUUUACCCGGGAAGAUAAUGACGGUACCGGGAGAAUAAGCCCCGGCUAACUUCGUGCCAGCAGCCGCGGUAAUACGAAGGGGGCUAGCGUUGUUCGGAAUUACUGGGCGUAAAGCGCACGUAGGCGGAUUUUUAAGUCAGGGGUGAAAUCCCGAGGCUCAACCUCGGAACUGCCUUUGAUACUGGGAAUCUUGAGUCCGGGAGAGGUGAGUGGAACUGCGAGUGUAGA